UAGCCCUUGGAUUUGAAUAACCAACUCUUCUACAUGGCAUGUUAUGUUCACGAGGAGACAAAAUAGAGAGCUUAGGAAUUUUAUACAUAUUUUCAACAAAAUUAUGGGAUAAUGCCAAGGGCAACAAAACCAUCCUCUUUCACAAGGUGCUGAAGUAAAUGAUCAUAGUAUCAUCUUUGUGAAGGUGUACAUGGAAGGCAUUCCAAUUGGAAGAAAACGCAAUAUACUUGUCCAUGUUUAACACUACAAUUCUCUGUAAAGUUCUUGUUAAUGAAUUCUCACGUAUGUUCUAAUUUUUUUUGAUGCUUUUGUUGUGUUGUCUACUUAUUGAGUAUUUGAAACAGGGGAAGUGAGAUGGAUAAAGUGAAACCAAAGAUAUUCCAUGUGUUAACUUAUGAAGAUGAAGAAGGGAAUUGACUCAUGGUUGGUGAUGUUCAUUAGGAGUAAGUUAAUUAGAACUCUAUUUCUGAAGAAUAACAACAUCUUAUGUAUGUUUUGUGCACUAAUGUUCCUGCCCUUCUGGUGGGGGCCUUAUAUAGCUACUAAUGUGGAUGAAAUAUAAUUCUUUACUUACAUCUAAAGAUCUAAUUUUGUUUUUGUUAUUGUUCAAUUGAAUUUGACUUUUGGGUA